rnacentral:rRNA from 1 species
CAAGAGCGUAUGUAAAAGUUGUUGCAGUUAAAAAGCUCGUAGUUGAACCUUGGGUUUGGUUGGCCGGUCCGCUUUUUUGCGAGUACUGGAUUCAACCGAGCCUUUCCUUCUGGCUAACCAGUCGUUUCGGCGGCUGGCGAACCAGGAUUUUUACUUUGAGAAAAUUAGAGUGUUCAAAGCAGGCAUUAGCUUGAAUAUAUUAGCAUGGAAUAAUAGAAUAGGACGUUAUGGUUCUAUUUUGUUGGUUUCUAGGACCAUCGUAAUGAUUAAUAGGGACGGUCGGGGGCAUCAGUAUUCAGUUGUCGGAGGUGAAAUUCUUGGAUUUACUGAAGACUAACUACUGCGAAAGCAUUUGCCAAGGACGUUUUCAUUAA